GGUUAUUCUCCAGGGCUGCCGUGCCUACUGGAACUGCUGGUGUAGGGAGGAGCGUUAUCCUUGCGUUGGCUGAGGUGGCCUAGAAGUCAGCCUCUCCCAUCUGGGGUGCCAGGGGCCUUACGGCUCCUCUCCCGAAUAUGCUAGUCUCCUGUGCUGCCCUGAGCAAGGGGUGGGGUGGGAGUUCCAGUCUCUUUGCCCCUACCCCCACCCCGGAGCCACUUUCUUUGCUGGAAGAAGUCUUUCUCGGACACUGUCCACAAGCGGCCAAACUAAGGAUCAGCUCCAUCACGUUCAGAGCCCCCUUGUCCAAAAAGGAUUCCGAAUUUUACGAUGGGGUCUACAGAGCAUCGGGCCCAGAGCAGGUGCACCGGCCACAGGCCCUGAAGCCUGCCCCCGACAAGGUCUGGACAGAUUUUGAUGGAGUUACAGUGAUAUCUGCUCUGGGGACAAAGCGAGCACCAGACAAAUGACUUUGAGCUUCGGGAAUAUACAUAGUUCCUGAUACAUUUUCCAGUCCUAGAAAUACAAAGUGAGGAGAGGAGUCACCAGGGAGGUCUCUGGAGAAAACCCCCCCUUCACCCCCCACGGGGAAGGGCUGGGCCCUUGCACAAGGAGCUUUCAUGUAAAGCAAAGGACACCUACUGCAUGUUCUUGCGAAAUGUCACACCUUCCUACCCCCCUCCCCCACCGAGCCUUGACAGAAUUUCCAUGGCUUUGCUGGAGUGUGCGUGGCUGGCCAGCCCAGGUCUUGGAGAGAAACGAGGAAAAGCCAAUGCUCAUGCUUGCUCCGGUGAAGACACGAUGAGAAAUUCCAUUGCACCUGCUUUGGGAAAGGAUCUCGGGUUUCAGGGCAGGUGGAUUUCCCCCCACCCCCAGAGGAGGACUGUGGGUGCUGGGGACAAAUUGGCAGCCUCUGUAUGUAAGUUGGGGAUGAUCUGCAGCUUGGAAGACCGGCUUCACAAUCCCACUGCAGCCAGCCCCACGCACAAUGUGCCCACUUCCACCACCCCUAUGUCCUCAGCCCCGUGUCAAGUUCUGGCAGUUUCCAGGUGGAUAGACAGCAGCACUGGGCACCCUGGUGGCUGAAGCCCCUUCCAUGAACAGUGUGUGGAAAUGCACAACCAACCACAGCAAGGAUCAUGGUAGAGAAGUCAUCUGAAGCACAGAUACCCACUUAACAGAGAGGCUCCGGCCGGGUGAGGCCCCAUUCGCUUUCGCAGGACCACAGACAACAUAUUCCUCCCCCCACCCUGCUAUCUACAGCCCCCUUGCUCAUUUUUCUUUACAAAAAAUCCACCCCACUUCUCCCAGCUUUUCUUAGCACUCUGGAGGAGCAGGCCUGGGACAGAAUAUUUUCUCCAUAAGCAUGUCUUGCAAGGAGGGCUGGACAGACAAAUGGGUAAACGGGGCAGGUGCAGGGGCAUCCCAAGGCUGGUAGGCGGCUGGCUGCUCUGCGCCCCUCAGCUCCUGUCCCAGUGCUCACAGGGCCCUCGAAGGGAGUGGGCUUGGCCAGUGCACAGGUUUCCAGGCCUGGGGCCACUCGGCUGCCUCCCCCAGUCCAGAUAUGUCCCCAAGACCCUGCCCUGGGACGGUUCCAAGCCAUGCAGAGCAAGAGGGCAGAAAAUGGAGGGAGGCAGCCAAGAAGCUUCUGCGAAGAGCAGGUAGAGCUUCCAGGUCAUGUCAAGGCCUUGCACACGAAAUUUCGGCCUGAAGGGCAGGAACAGGGUUCUGUAUCCGCUGCAGAUGUGGACUGGGAGCAGGUGGGCCUCUCCCAGGUCCUCUCCUGGACACCACGGGUCCCAGCGGCCCCUCCGUUCUCAGGACGGGAACACAUGGUGGCUGUCCGCAGUGGCUGACUCAAGCCCUCUGCUGAGGGGACAAGACGAGACAGAGCCUGCGGAGGGGGCUGCUGCUAUCCUGGGACCCGGUCUCAGCGUCCCUCGCUUUCAGGAAGCAUACUGGGCCUGUCUCUCCAUGUGCUCGCCUCGCCCCAGAUUUGCCCAGGGCACUUUGGAGUGGGUUAUAGAACACACAGGUGCCAGAGCAGGGUGCCUAAACAACGGGACCAGAGCAAGGGUAAAGGAGCCCCCUCCAGAGUUGAGGGGGGCUUGUUUACCCCUUAAGAGAAAACAACCCCAAACAGCUUCUGGGUGGAAUUUCAGACUGUGGGAUUUCUAAGUAGCCAGCCCCCUCUCCUCCGUAUUUCUUUCUUUCCUCCCCUCUCCGGGCCUGCUUUCCCUCUUUGUUGCCAAGCUCAGACGUCGCUGCUGAAACCAAGCCCAGCGCCCGCGAAGCCCGGAAACUUCCAGCUCUGCGACGAGGCGGAAAGUUGGGGUCGCAAGGCCGGGGUGACAACGGCGCCCCAAAGGCCGGGCGCGGCGGUGACCCGGGGCGCCGCCUUCGCGGCCUCGUUCCGCCUGGCCGCGCCGGGACCUCGGACAGUCCAGGGGCCGGACGUGAACCCGACCGCGGGGGCUCCCCCGGAGGACCUGGUAAGCGCGCCGCUCUCCCGCCCCCGCCCCCAGGGGCUCCGCGGCCGGCCGGUCCGAGCGCGCGGCGAGGGGCUCGGGGUCCGCGGCCGCGGGGCGAGGGGCCCGGGGGCUGGGGGGCCCGGGGCCCGGGCCUCCGUCCCGGAGGGGCGCCGCCGCCGUGGCCGCCAAAGGAGGCACCGCUGAGCCCCGGCCCUCCACCGCCCCACGAAGUGUGCCCUCCCCGGCCUCCUCCCGAACAAAGCCUCGGGAAGUUCGCAAGGGAAUCCUUCCCGACAUGUUCCCUCCCCCGGGGCUGCUGGCUCUGGGCGGCGGCCAUCCGGGCUCUUAAAGGGGAAAGAAGACCACGCUGGCUUUCUUCUCUCCUCCGCGUUCUUGCACGCUCCCCCUUGGCUGAGGGAAGAAGGGUUGGGGUGGUCCACUCCACCUCUCAGGUGUUAACUCCCUCAGGCGGGGGCCUGCCCAGGGGCUCCACGCUCAGAUGAGGGCCUGCCGGACCCCCAGCAGUUCAGGGAGAGGCAGCCCCUGCAACAGGAGUGGGUCCUGGGGGUCCAGGUGGACACUGCUCCUGAUCCACCCCACUUGCCUGAGCAGCUGCCCUGCCCCCGUCCUGGGUGACCGGCCUGAGCAGGACCCCCAGCCACAACCUCCCGAUCCGCUCUGCCUGGGGAAGCUGUGCUAGCUUAGCCGAAGUGCCAAGCCACCGUGGCGGGUCCUGGGCACACAACAAGGCAGCUGUGGUCAGGGCCUGUGGACGAGAGGGAGUCUGGGCCCGGUGGGACCUUGUCCCUGGGUAGGGGGAGACACUGGUGUCUCCUCCACCCCCUCACCUUUGCCCACAAGCCCAGGUCCAGCAGCCCCUCCAGCCUAUUCCUCCACACUUGUCCUAUUGCAUCAGAUGGGCCUGUGAGUGUCCUGAUCCCUGGGGGGCACCUGCAGGGUAGGGAAUCAGAGCCUUGAUAAUUUCAGAGUUCUCCCCUGGGUCUGGGCCAGGAGUUUGACUCAGUGCUCCCCAGCCAGAGCAGAGACUGCCUGCGUGGCCUUGCUCUAGGCGGUGGCCAGGUCCCCAACCUUCUAGAGACCAUCGCUAACCUCACCUCCAUGCCCAGGGCUCCCGGAGCCCAGAGUCCUCCGUGAGAGGCUGCAGGGGCAGUGGGUAGAGCGCUCAUGCAGGAGUGAGAAGGCCUGGGCCAGCUGGGGAUUGGGCAGGUCACCACCCUCAGUAGCCGGGACAUUCCAGCAGCAGCCUCGAAUGGGCAGCCUGCAGGGUUCAGGCAGGCCACGUGGGGCUCCGUGGAGAAUUUUCAGGGACUGAGGGAACAGAGACCCCAGGCCAGCCGGUUGCUGCCAAGAGGGCAAAGGCCUAGGGUUCCAGAGCUUCAGACUCUUUAGGAGAAGGAAAUCCAGAUUUGUGCAUGGGAUGUCCAAAAUUUGAAAAUAUCACAUAUCCUGGGCUGAACCCAGCCUGUAGACCCCCCACUUUGCAACCCCUUGAACACAUGAGCUACUUAGUGUUAAAAGGAGGCAGGAAUCCUAGUGACCCCAGCUCCAGCCCAAUCUCUGAUGAGAACAGGGAGGAGAGGCAGUUUGCACCCUGUUUACCCCACAUCUCAGGGAAGUCCAGGCCUCCACACGCUGAGUGCUCCAGGCGACGGGGGCUGGCUUGCCUCUUUCAGAUCAGAUCUGCUUAAUUGAACUGGUUUGAAGUUAAAAUCUCCCUUUAAACCAGGUAACAGAAUUGCACCGUCCCCAGAUCCUCUGAGGAGCCUCCGUGCCCACUCAGGCUGUGCCCACAAAGUUCGGUGUGUAGCAAAGCUGCGGAAGCACGCAGAAAGCGAACUUGAACUUGAGCUUUCUUCCUGUCCCAGGCGGUAGAUCCACCUCCAGGUAUGAAAACCUGGACCUGCAGGAGUGAGAAGGCCUGGGCCAGCUGGGAAUUGGGCAGGUCACCACCCUCAGUACUCCAGGCAUUCCAGCAGCGGCCUCGAAUGGGCAGCCCGCAGGGUUCAGGCAGGCCACGUGGGGCACCGUGGAGAAUUUUCAGGGUCUGUUGCUGCCCAGAAGGGCCGGCUACAGAAAGCCAGGCCUGCGCCCGAACCCCAGCACUGCCUUGUGGUGCAUGGAGGCGCUGGGAGACUGACGUCGUCUCCCCUAUCUUCAGCUUCCUUCCCUGUGCCUACAGCCCUGUGCUGAGCACUGGGGAUCAAGAGGUGGGUCUGACACAGGCCAUAAUUUGAGAAGCUGCUGGCUGCCCUGUGCAAUUUUAACAUCAGGGGGAGGUUCUCUGGGCUAACUCCCCAUCCAGAGAAGGUGUUUCCUGCACAGUGCUCCUGCUGGCGGCCAUGCAGUCUUUGUUGAAUGCCUCCAGAGAUGAGCAGCUCACCAGCUCUCUGGUGGUGUUUCUUGUAGGUAUCCCUGAACUUUACUGUCAGGACCAGAUGUAGGACAGGCCUAUGGCAGUGGCUCUGGGUCCAAGGUACCUGGUUUUACUGGGGAAAAUACACACCUGGUAAGAAGGUCCUAAAAAGAUUGGUGAGGUACUAAUUUUGGUCUCCAGAAGAAGGGAUGGCCGCAUGUUUCCCACUUUUGCCAACAGCCUAUGUAGCAAGGAGAAGGCAAAGAGAAGGAAUCACUGAGUGGGAAAUUAAACAUAGUACAAAAGGCUGGCCGCCUCACUCAGGAAACUGGAGAGCAAAGUCGAGGCAUCCAGAGGCCUCAGGUUUCUUUGCCAGGACUGGCUGCAUAAUUCGCAGAGCACGGUGCAGAAUUAAACGUGGGGCCCUUAUUCAAAAUGACUAAGAAUUUCAAGAUGGUGACCACAGAGCAUUAAGCUAAGUGUGGGCCCCUCUGAGCACAGGGCCUUCCUGAGCGCGGGCUCUUUGCGGCAGAUAGGUCACAAACCCACGAGGCUGGCCGAGCUCCUGGCGAGUGCUUAAGCUGCGUGCUGAGGCGCGAGGGGACCACAGGCAGUUCCCUCGAAGGAGCAUGACUCCUCUCCUGAAUUGAUUCUCUUUUCCAUCACUGAUGUUACAUGCUAAUUUUAGAACACUUCGGAUCCUCACAAAAGAAGAAAAAUAUUUUCAAUCACCUGUGAAACCACACUCAGAAAUAGCCAGUGGGAGCACUUUACCCAUCUUCCAACUUCGAUGUUUUGAAACAAAAUCAGCAUCUGAGCUUCUUAUUAGAGUAUGUAUCAUUUUAUCUUCUGUUUGUUUCACUAAAUAUUUUAUCACCACUACUUCCUAAGUCAGAAGAUACUCUUCUGCCGGUUGAUUUUUAAUGGCUACUAUUCCAUUGGACACAGCUUUUUAACAACCCUUGUUAUCAGACGCAGGUAAUUCCCGGCUCUCUCUGUUAUAAACAGCACUUCGAGGAACACCCGUGUGCACAAUUCUGCACAUUUCCGAGGGGAGUGAAGACUCUUAGGUUCCAGAAGGCUCUUGGGGUCUCUCUGAAAUGCCACCUCGGCCAGGGCCUGAGCCCCCCCCGCCCCCGCAGUACUGAGGGGAUAGCCCUGCCUGGCAUCUUAGUUGUUCUUUUCAGAGAAAACCCAGUCCUCCUGCAGCCGACUUGCCUGGACAGUACUGAGCCCCCACUGCACGUGCAACACCAACUGAUCGCCUUCACAGCCCCCUUUACAGAUGAGGACCCUGGGCCCGGCGAACAGAGGCACUGGCCCAAGGACUUCCUGCCUGAUGUGUUGUGAGAAGGACACGUUGAUGAUAACAAAGCAGAAGAUGGUCCCUCCUCCCACCGAACUGUGGACAGGAUUUCAGGAUCUGGGCUGUCUCAGUCCCAAAGGCUGGGGAUGGAAUAAUAUCAUGCUUAGCAUGGUACCUGCUCUUGGGCUACGCUCAGUAAAUGGUGGAGAAGCAGGAAGGAGAGGAGGAGGGGGACGGGGAUGGGGAGGGAGAGCAGUAGUCAGGAGGGGAGGUUAGAGCCCCCUUAGGACAAGAGGGCUCUGCAGGGCAUCUGACUGAAGCCUCCUGAGGGCGGGGAUGAGGUGUCCUAACCCCAGCCCAGCACUCCCCACUGCCGAUGAGCAACGUGUGUGGAGGGACUACGUAGGCAGGCUGCACCCCCAGUCUCCUUCAGAGGCAUCUGGACAUGUGGGGGGGGGUAUUAGUUUACUGCUGCCAUAAGAAAGUCCCCUGAUCUAGUGGCUCACAGAGUGCAAGUUCAGUACCGUGCAGUGGUGGGGGCUGGAAGUCUGAAAUGACUCACGGGGCUAAAGUCAAGGUGUUGGCAGGGCUGGUUCCUUCUGGAGGCUCCCGGGGAGAAUCCUUUUCUUGGCCUUUUCCAGCUUCUAGAGGCACACAGCUGGGCCAGGGUCUCCAUUUUUAAGGGCUUAUAUCAUUAGAUUGGACCCAAGUGGAUAAUCCAGGAUGCUGUCCCAGCUCUAAGCCCUUAACUUCACCCACCUGCAAUGUGGAUUUGGACGGUUCUGGGUUUGUUGCUGGGCUGAGCAAAUUCCUGUCAGAGGCCCUACCGGCCCCACCCUUCGCCUACCGUAAGGACAGAGGUUCUGGGAGCUCAGGCAGGUUCUCUGCUCAACCUGGACCUGCUUUUCCUCACCCAACCUCACAGGGCAGGCAGAGUGGGCACUAUUGUCCCUAUUUUACAGGUGGGCAAACUGAGACCCAGAGAGGCUGUACAACUUGCUUAAGGCCAUACAGCUGGCAAGGGGCAGGGCUGACCCUGGGUAAUGGCUAGACCCUGAAUCCAGGGCUCCACGGUGCCUGCCCCCUGCCUCUAGGAAUACAGACUUCCCUGGUUCUCAUUUAACCACAGCCCUUGUUUCUUUCGAGAAGGGUGGCGGGCCUUCUUGCCCCUUUCCCAGAACAGGCAGGCUGCUCUCGGGGACAGAAAGGCCACAGGGCAGCCCUUGGCAGGGGGGCUUGUGUGAGUGUGGAGGGAUCUAGGAGCCUCCCCAGGCGGCAGGGCCUCAUUGCAGCUUGCGUGUUGGUAGGGUGAAGGUGUGGGUGGCCAAGGACGGGUCUGUCUGUCCCGGCCAGAAGGGCUGCAGCUCUUCCUGGUCCCACCGAGGGCCUUGGGGACAUCUCUUUCCCUCACACCAGCACAAGGCAUUGACCCAAGCAACGCAAAGUUGCUCUUUGUGAGGACAUAAGGAAGAGAAUGUUCCUGGGGCAGCGUCGGAAGCUGGGGUGGCACUCGAUACACAAAGGCAGGCAGGGUGUGCCCAGUCCCAAGGCUGGGACCGUGCAGAGGGCACGGGCGGUGUUCCCUCCAGGCCGUCGGCUGCAGCCCAUCCCGCCUGGGCCCGGGCCUGGCAUGGCAGGAGUUAAGCUGCCGCGGGCACCUUGGCACACGGAGCUGCCCAGAAUGUCCGGCUCCCCACCCCCACGGCUUUUCUUCCUUUUUGCCUUUUUCCUUCUUAAUUAAUCAUACGCUGCUGCCCAAUUUAAAUAUGGAAAUGCCCAGGCCCCAGCGAUGCAAUUAUUCCUGAGGCCGGGCGGGCUGUCCGGCCCCGGGCUGUGGGGAGCAUCGCGGCAUCGCCUCCUUUCUGGUGUGUGUGAAAUUAUGUGCACAAAAGGCGUCUCCUUAUCUGAGUGUGUGAACUAAAUAAAUAAAUAAGGGCUUUUGUUUGUUCGCCGGCUCCUGCACAUGACUGUUUUGACUAAACCGCCCGUGUUGUCUGUGCCUUUAUGGGACUCAGGAGAGGGGCCGGGGGCGGGAGGUGCGGCCGCCGGGCAUCUGGGCCUCUCCCUCCCCGGGCAUCGCCAGAGCCCGCACCCCUCCCCGCACACACCCUCGCCGGAAAGUUCCCCUGCCCGGGCCGGGCUCCCAGGCAGCUGGCACCGUGCCAGGCUCGCCGCCGAGCGCGGGCAGCGGGGUGGGGCGAGCGGAGGCGGCGCCGAGGACGUGGCCGGGCACCCCGGGCACGAGCCGGACCGAGGCCCGGAAGGAGUCCUGGAAUUUGACCGGAGAUGGCUGUCGGAGAGCCAGUUGGAGCCCGUGGGCCCAGGGCUUGGGAAGGCCCGGGCAGCUGUGCCCGCAGGCCCCACCUGGCAUCUGUGGGGUGCCCAGCGCCCUGGCUGUGAUUCGGUGAGCAGAGGCAUGAAACGUGCCCGUGACAGGAUCCAGAGGGCUCUGGAAAACUACCCAAGAGGCUUCCGGAGGUCAGAAAUGUGGGCAGAAAAUGAGAUCCAGAUUUAAAAAAACCCGGCUGGCUCAUCCCCCUGGGAGGGAGGCCUGGGAGAGCCUUGCGGCUUGUUGACUUUGAAAUGCUUGCCCAGGGCUGGUCUACAGCAGCGGCCCCUGGCCCCAGCCUGAUGCCCUGGCCGAGGUGCUGCCCUCCCUCCACCUCUGAGGAGGUGGGAGUUUUACUGGAGAUGACGGGGGACCCUUUGAGGGCUCAUGCACGACCUGCCUUCUGCUGGGCCCUGCCAUUGCCCUACGGGGGCCCUUUCCAGCUUACAUGCAAGGAGCAGAACCUCGGGAGUGGCAGGCCUUCGGGCAGAUUGCUUUCCUCCCUGGGCCUCAGUGUUCUCAUCUGUGAAAUGGGGAGAGUAACACAGGCCUGCAGGCACGUGGGAAUUAGGUGAGAUUUGGGGUUGGGCUGGACAAACGGUAGAUGGUGGCGUCAGAACCGCUCCCACGGCAGAAUCCUCACCACGAACGAAACAGGCUGCACCUUCCAGGUUGCCCCAGACUCUGGCGGGGUGACGCUGGCCCAGCCUGGCCCCAGGGAAGGCUGUUUGUCAAGGUCACCUGGAACGGCUGCUGAAAAGCCCAGGGUAGCCGGUGCAGUGGCAUUUCCUCUUCUUCAUCUGGGACCCCACUCAACCUCGGGCCUGCGUCCCGGGGAAGCCCACCGCCCCCCGGGUUCGCCGACAGAUCCCGGGGGCGGGAAGCGGCAGCCGACAGACACCAGACACCGGGGACAUGCUCGCCGCCACAGCUCGAAGGACGGGCGCGGUGGCAUUUUCAGCUUUCUGCCCUGGGCGGGGAGGGAACUUGGGUUUGAGCGAUGGCUCCUUCUUGCCUUCCAGUCCACCCUCCCCAGUGAAAGUAGGCCGAGGGAGCUGGCUCAGACGAGUAGGUGGUGACGUGGCCCAGGUUGAUUUAGACAUGCGGGGAGACCGGGGUAAUGUAGGAAAUGAAGGAAAUUUCCCCAGGGAAAGGGGGAAGAGAAUAAAGAGGAGCUUAAGUGCCCAGAUAAUUAUAAAGCCUGGCGUGGUGAUUUAUGGCGGGCAGGCCGGCUCCUCCGGUCUCCACCGCCCCUCCUGUCUCGGUCCCCCUGUGCCCCCAGAGACCCGCUGGUGGGGGAGGUCGUGAGGCCAGCGGGCGCCGCCCAGCACCCGAGCUCUGCUUUGUGUCCUGGGGACAGAGCCCCUCUGUGUGCCGAGCCCUGACGUCUGCUAUCUGGGGCAGCCUUGCGGGACACUGACAGGCUGCCAGCCGGGAGGCUGAGCCCCCCGCACAGAUUCUUCACGGACGAGCCCCAGCCAGACUGGCCGGCCCAUUAGAAUGCUGAUGGUCAGGGUGGAGGCAGCACCUCUCAUUCUUGGUGCCCCAGAAGGGGGGGCCGGGGCCAUGGCGUCAGGCAGAAGUAAGGAGGCGCGUUUCUCUGGCUUGGGAUCGGGGUGCGCUCUAAAACGAAAUGAGGACGCGGCUCGCCACGUUGGCCAGGGCGCAAGAGAGGCCGUGGCUGGCCGCGGUGGGCCGCCUGGACACUGCGCCGUUUGGGGCCCGACUGUGGGCAGCCCCUGCUAGGGGAUUUCCUCCACUAUGACCACAGCUGUCCCCUCCCGCCCCCCUAUAAUUCCUGGGGGCUGUCCCCCAGCUGCUGACCUGAGGGUCAUCGCUGGCCCCCCUCCCUGCCGCCCCCCUCCUCAGCAUGUCCGAGUCUCGCCCAUCCAGGGACGUGUGACCACCACGCAAACCUCUGCCCUGACCUCCACCCUGUGGGGCUCCCGUCCAGCUCCAGGCGGAAGUCCAGUCUCCCCUUCCUGGGGCUCGAGAGGCUCCCAACAGCCUGCUCUGCCCCCUGCAUGUUGCCAUCCUCCCACUUCUCUAGACUGCAGCCCAGCAUCACCUCCUCCUGGAGGCCCUCCCUGCUCCCCACCUGCCCACGGCUCAGUUCACGGCACGUGUCUGCCCUGGAAGACUGAGCAUCUCCAGAAGGACCGGCCAGAAUCACCAGCCUGGCCCAGGGCGGGCUCUUGGGGGAAUGUUUCAUGAAUGAAUGAAACAGAAUCCCAAGGCUGAAACAGAAGAAGGGAAGGCUGUGAACCUUGCACUCAGUGCGGCGGCCUGCGCCACCAGGCUGGCCACGUCACCUGGCCAUGAUGCUCGGAGAAACAAGGGGACAGAGCUUACUUUAUUACCUCCACCAAUAUGUUCCCUUUUAGGACUAACCCGAGGGGCUUGUGAGCCCACCUCAUCGGGGACAGCGUGGCAGUGCCCGAUGGACAGGCCUGAGCCCUGAGCAUCUGCGGCCCACGGACAGAGGACGCCAGGUAACUCCAGGCCACGGGAAAACCAUGGCUGCUGCUUUGGGGCUGGGGUUCGGUUGGGAAGACCAGCUGUGAGAGGUGCCUUGGAAGGCUCUGGGGCCUUUUCCCCUCAGCUCAGUGGGUGUGAAAGGUGGACUCUCUCGGCCCAUCCGAUGUCAUUGGUGAAUAGUGGCACAUUCUGUUAAUUUAGGUCAGACAUUUCCUGUUCAUGAACUUUCUGCACGGCCCUGCUACCAUGUUGUGGCUUAUGGGGGUCCUCCUCCUCCAGCAAGUCCUCACAAACUCCAAAGCCCUCUUGCUUCCCGUCCCCUGGCAGUGGGCUGCCCAGCCCCUCUGUAGCACCCACCACACCCCUCUUCUCUCCCGUCGUUCAUCUUCACGGGUUUGUGAUGGACAAGUCUGAGGCAGCUUCCACUGAGGCCUUUUGAAAAGUGUGCUCGGGGCGAUGACGCCUGACCAGCGGGCAGGGGCCUCGGUCCCUCCCCGGCUCUGCCGUUGGCCUGCUGUGUGAUCUCGGCCCACUCCCUCCCCAACUCUGAGCCUCCAUUUCCCCACCUCCGACAUUUGGUGGGUCUCCGGAAGGUUCCGAGGGACCAGCUUGGGGCGGCUGCCUCAGGUGUGUGAAAGUGCUCCUGGGCUUUGAGCGGGGUCUCCCCUGGGAAAGGGGAAAGAGCUAUGCAUAAAGCCAGAAGUGCGCAUCCUAAUGUAUCUCCGGAGGAGAGCAACGAGGCGGCCGGCCGCUGUCCGGGGUGGGGUGUCUGGGUCAGAUACUUGUGACAAAGCUGUCUGACGGGAUAUUGCAUGGCCGCUCAGCGGACACGGCCGGUGGGGGCCACGGAAGUCUGUGGCCAGCCGCCGUGGUGCGUGUGGGAGCCCCUCCUGGGAGGGGAGUCUGCCGCGGGCUGGGCUCAGCAGAGGGGGACUGUUGGCUGCCUUUUUCUCCUUUUCUCGUUUGUCCGGACCUUGCUGAAUGAGGAAAAACUCCUUUAAAUCACAAAACUAACCACCCAGCCAGAGUGACCCUGACCCACCCAAAUCCUCACUGCACGUUCUCCCCCCAGAAGGAGAGCCGUUGGCGGAAGGCGCGGGGUGUUGCCCUGAGGGCAGCACCAUCACCAGGGCGCGUCUGGGCCCUUUAAAAGGAGCAGAGGAGAUGUGGGGGGCAAAGGGGACCCCUGAGAGUGGGGAGCACAUUGAGGCCCCUCCGGGCCGAUGGUGGGGGUGAUGCUGCCACUUUGGGGCCGGGCCCACCGUGAUGUCUCCAUUCGCGUCCCAAGUGUUGGGAGUCUGAUGUCUAGAGGUGAUGUCCGUCCAUGGAGACCAGGAGCCCUGUUGUCAGUUGGCGCUGGGGCCUGUUCCUUUGCUGUUAGAGGUAUGGACGUCCCUUGUGGUGCCCCCCGACCUGGUAGGGCUCAAGGCGGGUGUGUGAACGGACGCACCUCUGGCCACCGGUGACGCGCUUUUCUGGCCCUGAGUUGGUAACUUGCAUGGCGUCGGCCACUGGCUGUCGAGAGCACCUACUGUGUGUGCGGGCCAAGCCGGUGGGAGUGUGUUCAUUUUUGUGUUCAUGAUGUCAGCUUUGUCCAGUAGGUGAGAAUGGCUGCUUCUUGAUACAAAACUGGGGCUCAGAGAGGCCAGGGUCCUGAAGGCCACUCAACCCAGGAGAUUCUCUUCAGCCUGGGCUCUGCAGCCUAGGCUCCUGCCCGGGGCUGGUGGCCCUGCCACUGGAUGUUGCGUCCUUGGGGAUUUGAACUGGCCUGUGCCUAUCAUGUCAGCUGCUCCCCAAGUCCCGGCUCCUUGAGUCCCUGCUGGGGCCGUGUUGACCCAAAUGAAGCAGCCGAGCUGGGGAUGCACCCCUGGCUUGUGCAUCUGGCACUCUGGCUGGAGGACGUGGCUGCCCACAAGCUCACGGCCUACUGCUGAUGCCUCCCGACCCGUCUUGGGUACCUGAGGCCUUGGGUGUCCGACAGAGCACGACCCCAGGGCCAGGCCUCGGUCCUCCGCAGGGCAUUUCUGCACAUAAAUCGAGGGUGAGCUCUGUGCAUGAUUCAUUAGCAACUGGCUCUUUCCAGUUUGUAGGACGUUUCUCCCACACAUGACCUUGGAGAAGGCCAAGUUUAAUGCCGAAGAGAAGUCUAGACAAGGCAGGCGGAGUGCUCUGGGGGUCCAUGCUCCCAUGGCUCUGGGUCCUGAAGCUUGGCCAACAUCAGGGUUCCUACUGAGGGCUCCGAGCUCCUGCCCCACGAUGUCCACUCAUACCCCAGGCCCCGGAGACUUAGUCCCUGGUAAGAUAAGAGGUAGAGGAGGAAUUUCUCCAGGAUAAAGGCCCAGGGUGGGUUCUUACACGUCCUCAGAGUACCCCAGGGAGGCGGCAGUGGGCGUGCAGUCCAGUGAGCCUCAUGUGGCCUGCGUGUGCAGCGGGUAUCAACUCUAACCUUGCGUGUAAAUUUGAGGAGGUAGGUGUCACCGUCCCGGUGUAACAGACUGGGAGCCUGAGGCCCCGGUGGAGGGGCUUGUCCAGAGCUGAAAUGGGACCUCAGUGGCCCCUGGACUACCCUGCAGAUAGGCACAGGAAUAUUGUGGAGACCAGGCUACUCGUGGGCCUGGGCAAGGUGGGGAUUGAGCUCUGAGACAUCCUGCCGGGGCCCAGGGUUGGUUCUGACCAUUGAAACACCAGCCUCAUUGUGCCAAAGCCUUCCAGAGGACAGAACUGCAUGGGCGGGGGCGGUACGGGGAAGCUGCCAAGAUGGCCCGGGCUGACCCUGUCGUCCAAGUGACCACACCGUGGGGCACGGACUCUGAGAGGGAGCGGGGGCCCAGCCCUGAGAGCAGUGGUAGGCAUCAUCGUGAGCCAGCCCUGCGCUUGGGACGUGGACUUUUGUCACCGGCAGUGCCCACCACAGCUCUGGGAGGCCAGGCACACAUGAGAUGCACAUCACAGGAGGGAAGGCAGGAGAGGGCGGUCUUGUGCCUGGAGCCCGCACAGCAAGCAGAGGCCGUGGGUCUGGCCAGCUUCCCGUGCUUCCCCCAGCCUGCCUCGUGACCUCUGGGACGCGGGGGCCCAAGUUCAUUAGUGACCCUGAGACGGGCCCCGGCCUCCCUUCCCACCCCCACACCAUGUGGGCUGGCCUCUUGAGGGAGGACAGCUGCAGGAGGCUCAGGCAGCCCCAACAGGGGACGACGCACUCACAGGAUCUGGAAGGGCUCUGAGGGCAGGCCACGCGAUGGUUGUGUGGCUCAGCACGCAGCGACUGGAAGGAGGCAGAGUGAAUGCCUCUGUGCACCAGUGCCCAGUGGACACUUAACCUGGCUGUUCUGUGCCGUCACCAGGAGAGUGGGCGCAAGGAUAUGGGAGCAACAGAGUGUCCCGGGGGAGAGCAUUCUCUCAGUGCUGCUCUGAAGUUGGAAGGGGCAUCCGGGCUUCACAUCACCCACCCUGGGCAGCCGUCCUUGUGAGUUUUCAGCCACGGCCACGUGUGGCUCCUGUGUCGUACAGGAAUUGGGCCAGGAUCCCAGAGCCAAGCCUGUUCCCGCAGCUGAAGCUCUGCUCACCUGUCAGGACAGAAUUUCCACACCCCUGUGUCCAGAGCAGGCACGGGGUGGCCUUGUCCUGUUUUCACCUCCUCCGGCUCCCCGGAAGCCUGAUCUCUGCUGACAUCGACUAGUGAUAUUGAAUAGGGCUGUUUAUGCACAAAGGGGGCCUCGCCUGCCGGGCCUGUGGGUACCACAGUGUGCGGCCCAUGGAAGCGGUCCUCUGUGAGCCCCAACCAGGCUGUGUUCUCGGUCCAGAGGGAGGAGUGGGUGCGUGCUCCAUUGGCUCCCCUGUGCUGUUUUGGGGUUCUUUCCUAGGCGAGCCCCAGGGCGCUGUCUCAUCAGCUCCAGGUUGGGGUAUCAGAGAUACCCCAGCUCGAGGGACUUCCUAACCUGCCCAUCUUACAGGCGCAGGCAGAUGGGCCCGGGGUCCUUAAACAGCGGUGCAUGCCGGGGCUCCAUCCUGCUGGGAGGAGAGGCAGGGAGGGCAUCCUGGCCGGCGAGGCAAGGGCUGUGCUGCCUCAGGGCGGUCCCAUCUCGGGGGUGCUCCCCCCCUAUAAAACAGGGCAGUGAGGUGCUGCAGCCCAGAAGCCCCAUCCUGCAGCUAGGGAAACUAAGGCUAAGAGAGGCUCUAGGCCAGGAGAGAUAGGGAAACAGGAUUAGAACCCAGAGCUGGCUGACUCGUGGUCCUGAGUCCAUGCUGCGUGCAGAGGGCAUCGGGCUCACAAAUUCCUGUAGGUCCCCAGCUUCAGGGGUGGUGUUGGGGUUCCACCCAACAUUUUAGGGCUGGGAGUCCAAGCACAGCCUUGGAAGCCCACCAGCAGGUCCCCUCCGGCCUCUGAGGGCCUUAUGAGUCCCAUGAUCCCCACUGUCAGGGGCCUGUGCCUGAGGGGGAGGGCUACAAGCCAAUUAGUGGCAACUGGUCACUCUUGGCCCCAGUGGCUCCUGCUCUGGGUGGGACCUGCUCAGUGAUGGGGUCUGGGGAAGGUUGCACUUCUGGGGGGACAGAGCAGCCUCAUUCUUGCACUGGGGGGCCUGUGGGAGCCUCCCAGCUUGUGUGGGCAUGUUCCGGAAGCUGGGAAUACUCAGAAAGGGCAGGGGAGGAGGGUGUGGAAGCUGGAACCCUGCCAUCCUGUCCACCCACUCACACUCAGCCUGGGGCAGAGGCAGAGUGGCUCUGGCUGAGGCCCAGCCCGGCUCCUCUCUGUGAUGAGUUGGGCCUGGGUCUGCCGUUCCGUCCUCACGGACAGAGAGCCAGCCCUGCUUUGGGGGAGCCUGGACCCCGGAUGCAAGCCUGAGCUGGAGGCGGGGCAGGGGCAAGAGCCUGGCCUCUGUCUGAGUCACCCUGGGCCGAGUGCUCUCAGGGCCCCCCCAGGUCCUAGUGUCCUGCUCAGUUGGUCCUGGGGUGUCCUCUGACGGGCUCAUUGGGAAAAGACCACAGUCAGGUCUACACUCUCUGGGUCCCAGAUAGACACAUCAUUCCAAGAGCGGGGGCACUUCCCCGUCAUCCCGGGCGCUGUGCUGAGCCAGGGUGCCCCCAGCUGCAUAGGAGCUGGUCUGUGCCGCAGACCUGCCAGCCCUGGGGGGAUAGGCAGUACAGAAUCUGUGAGCUGAUUUCAGGGGACCCCCAGCCUCCUACUAGAGCUGGGGAGAGACUGUCUCAGGCGGCAUCCCCGCAAGGGUGGAAGAUAUGCAUGGCUGGGCCGCAAGGAAGCCAGUGGUUGGGGUUUGGUUUUGGGUGGGAGUCCAGACCAGGGCUGGGAGUCGGGGGGUCGGACAAGGCUUCCCUUGCCGUCUGUAACCUCUGGGCACUUGGGCGCCUUGCCCGCUGUGAGUUGUGGGCUGCCAUCUGCGGUGGUUGUGUGGGGUAAAUGAGAGGCAGGGGAUGGUCACACUGAGCCCCCUCCCGUUUUCGGGGUCAUGUGCCACCAGGCCUGCCCAGCUGAUUCCUUGGUCACCUUGCGUCUUUCAGAACAUGACUCAUCCCAGAGCACCCCCAAGGAAGCGGGACCUAUCGUGGCCUUUGGGAGACAUUCCAGGACCGCAGAGCCCAGGUAGAUGGUCUUUGCCCUGGGCCAGGGCAGGGAGGCAGCCCGGGAGGUGGGCGGCCUGGCCAGGAAGGGAACGUGAGCCCAUCUUUCAGAAGAGCCCAGCACCAGCCCCUCAGGCCCCAGCUGGCAGCCAGGCCCACCCUUCCUGAGGGAUUCAGCCUGGUCCCUGGCAGGCGGCUGAGGUCCCACUCCAGGACCAGGAGUGAGGUGCAGGGCAAGGGUUACCUGGCCUGCCAUGGUCCUUUGCCUCUCCCUGAGUCCUCGGCCUGCCCUGCAGCCUGAGGACUCUGAUUCGCCUCCUCGAAACAGAUGGAAUCAGGGAGGGCUGGGAGGGCUGAGUUGUUGGCACAGAGACUCUGCUGAGUGAGCUCCGAGUCACAGCCACCUACCUACGUGGUGCCAAGUGAUGGGCACGCCCAGCCCCCCAGCUGCGAGCCACCCUCCUGGACAUGCUUCUUCAGAGCCUCAGUCUCCUCAUCCAGAAGGCCGGGGCAGGAGUGGCUCCUGGUGGAGUGUUGGGGACGCACCGUGAAUCCCAGAGCACGUGUGGCUUCCGUGAGAGGCCCAGGGGACCGGACACAAGUCUUUGCACACAGUGGGCCCCCAAGAAGCACAGUGCUUUAUACUUCACUGAGAGCAGACAGCUCUCCAGGUGUUUGGGCCACCCUGGCACUCUUCUCGCUGCUCUCCUCGCUGGAGCUCAGCGGGGUCUAGUUCCCUACACCCGUUAUUUCAGGUUUUACGUGUGCUGGUGCUAAUAUGCGAGAUGAGACGGUAGGUCGAGGCAGCGCGGGGCCUGGUGUGGCCAGGGGCCUUGUCGGCAGCAUCUCUGAGGCAGACAGGAGGGCUUCCGCCCCCCAGGAACCCAGGCCUGCUGUGGCCAUGGGUGAGUUUCACAGCCUUGGGGAGACUGCCAAGUGGGGAGAGGUCUCCACCCCGACCUCCAGAUCCGAGCAGCUCUGUGUGGUGGUCUGGGUCUGUUUGCACAGCCACAGGACAGGGAGCCUACCUGCCCACGGCAGGUGCUGUGGGGGGCCUGCCAGAGGUCCGGCCUGGUUCUAUUCCAGAGCCCGAGGCUCUCUGUCAGUGUCCCGGGGCAGCGCCUCCAUACCCAAGUCGGCCUGGGGGCGGCCACUACCCUGAGGGCUCAUGGGAAUGGCCACGCCAUGGCAGGGGACUGAGCCCCAAGACCCAGAUCAAACCCCCUGGGUCCCACAACUACGUGGCUUUCACUGCUGUGUGGUCUUGGGGAGGCCAUGGCCUCUCCCCGGGAUUCUGUUUCUCAUUUGCAAAAGGGGCGUCCAGACCUCUUCCUACGUACUCCCCCCCCCCCCCCCCCAGGUACCAAUAAGAGCAGAACAGGGAGCCUCUUCUGGCCAAGAAAUGGGGGGGGUGUCUGGCUUGGGAUCAGUCCUAACCCACUACUUGGAAAGAUGAAGCCUACACACGCAGCUGCCCCUGAUCAUACGGGCAGAGCGGGAACUAAGGGGUUAUAUGUUACCUAUAUGUCUUGCCGUGUAAAUAAAUAAAUGUAAACAUAAAAAAUACGUAUGUUUAUAUUGAUAUUAAAGCUUAGAGCAACACAGACAAUGCAGAAAGACAAAAGUAAAUAGGAAAUUAGGGCAAAGGCAGAAUCGAAGGUAGGCCUAAAAGAAGCCACAUCACGUAGAAGUCUCUGGUUGCUGGUAAUGACUUGUAAAUUCAGCUCUGAGCCUCCUCGCGGCCAAAGCAAAGAGGAAAGGCUGUCCCUUGCAGGAAGUGGCAUUCGGGGCAUACCGUUGGCAGCGCUGACGGGACGCCCCGAAGCCCUGGGCGAGGGUGGGGGGUGGGCACUCCCUGACGCUCGGCACAGCUGUGUUCCUCUCAUCCUGCUGAACCCUUCCCGCACUGAGUCAUCUGAUUUUCCCCAGCCCUUCAAACCCCAGUGGAGAGAGGCAGCGAGGGGCCCCGGCCAAGCUGUCAGGCCUUGCUGAGUCCGAUUUUGAACGUGCGUCUCUCUGGCCCCGGGGCCACGCACCUGCAGGUGUACCUGCCCUGGCCGCUGCCCCCUGGAGACGGGUGCCCCCGAGGAUCGGGGGGUCAUUCCCAGGGUUUGGGACACAAAGUCGCACUGAAGCGGCACUGUCAAGGCCCUUGCGGCCCUUGAGGUGGCCUCCCAGGCUGUCAGGGCAGGUGGGCCGGGGCUGGAGGUACAGAUGCGGGUCGGGGCCCGCACACCUGCGUGCCUGGGCUCUCCUUCCCGAGACUUACACAGCAUCUCUCUCCUUCCAGGACUCACGCCUUCUUCCUGCCUCCUCGUUCUGCAGGUGACCCCUGCAACUCUGCCUCCCUCAGGUCAGUGCCGCGUUUUGAACCUUGAAAGUCAGGGCUCCCCCCUCCCCUCAGGUACCACCCUGGUCUGGGCCUGUCUGAAGUGGGACACGCACACACACGCACACACACGGCUUGUGGAGGACUGAGGAGCUGGGCGGGCUCAGCUGGGUCUGCUCCUGCCUCAGCCCUGACCUGCCACUGGCCUCUUUCUGUGCCCGAGGGACCAAGGUCUGCCAGAAGUCAGGGGCUUGCCCAGGUCUCUUGCCCCAGGAAGCUGGACUCGGGCCCAUCUUUCUGGCUCCCUUCCGCACAGAAGUUGAGUGAAGCUCCUUCUGCAAGGAGCCAUCUGUCUCGGGGGUCCGUGGUGGGAGGGCUUGGGCCAGCUGCUGGGGACGGUCCGAAGUGUCUGUGGAGUGGCCAGAGCUCAGGGGCUCAGCAGGUGAGAAGGUCCUCGGCCCGCCGCUCCCUAGCCCAGCCACCCUGUGGCCCUGGCGGGAGCCGGUCAUGCCCAGAACACUCCUUGCCCACACCCUGCUCCUCCCCUGAGAGCCGGCCCACAGGGCAGGCUGUAGGGCCCACUUGGCUGAGUCUGGCCUCCUGGGGAGUCCGCGGGGCCGUGUGGGCCAGACAGGCGCCACCCCCCCUCCCCCGCUGUUGCCAUGGCCAGGGGCAGGCCUGCCUCCCAGGUCCAUGUGGAGAGGACCCCAGGCUGUUGUGUCUGGGCUCAGGAACCCUCUGCCAUCUGGGGCCCGUGUGUUCACAGGUCCAGCUUGCCCGCAAGACUCUGCAGACAUUGCCCCCAGGGCUUUUGUGUCUGCGCGCGGAGCGUGCGCCAGCCGGUGCCCGUGGUGGGGUGGAACAUGGGUGGGGAGAGGGGGAGGCCCCCAGAGGACGUGGGGCAGAGGGGAAGGGGGACCUGGAGGGGGGAUAACAGAGGAAGGGGACGAACAGAGUGGAGGCAGAGAGAAAGCAGGGCAGGGCACGGGGAGAGAGGAGACACAGAGCAGAGCGACGGGAAGCUGUGGGGAGCUGUCGCUGGGGAAACGGGGCCUGAGGGUGCAGCUGGUCCCAGAUGUCCCCAGGGCCUGCUGGGCUCUGCCCAAGGCCAUCUAGUCCAGGUGCUUUCCUGGGCAUCCACUGUGAAAUCCCCCAGCGUCCCACUGGCAGCUGUGGUAGCCUCCGGGGUCCCCAUGAAACCCACGCCCUCGGAGGUACGUUCCUCAUGCAGGCUCGGGCACCAGAACGUGUACCUGGGUCCUGUGACCCCAAGCCCUGACAGACAUGCAGGGAGCCACAAGGGUGUGUCCCCAGGAACACAGGCGGAGGUCCAAGGAGGCAGGGCCAGCCCACCUGGGAGGCCAGAAGGGCUCCUGGGCCAGGGCGGUGGGGCCCAUGCACAGCAGCUGAGACCCAGGACAUGUGGGGAAUGACCUGGGUGGAGAAGGACAGGCCUGGGGGAGUGGGCUCUCUCAGGGCAGGACCCGUAUUCCCCCAUACUGUGCAGUGGACGGAAUGCACGCAGGCCAAUGCAUGCAGUCGGUGCUUAUUCUAUGCUCAUCCUGAGCCUGAGUAGUCACCAGGAUGACCAUACAGCCGUCGGGGCAGGGGUGAGGACAUGUUCAGGGCCAGAGGGGAGGGCCUCCCCUCUUGCGUGCGCACACGCCCUCCUGCAGCCCCAGGACUACCAGCAAGGUGGGGCUCAUCAUCUCCAUUCUGUUCUGCUAGAAAUGGAGGCUGGGGGCUGGGAAGAGCUCAACUCUGGCCUCACCUGUGGUCCAAGAGCUGCCUUUAGGAUGCUGAGCUGGGAGGUGCCAAAGGUUUAUGGGGGACAGUGACUCGGUUGGUGGGAUUUGUUCUUGAACUGACUCGGUAUUGUUCUCCCUGAAGUCUGCCCAGACUUGGCCCAGGAUGGGGAGAAGUCUGGGCACGGGAGGCUCCCUCCGUCUCUAGUGCCUUCCCCCGCACUGAGCCCCUGGUGCCUCCCCCACACCCAGUACGGGCAGGAGCCACGCACCUCUGCUCAGCACCCAGCUCUGGCUUGUUCCCUGAAGGGACUUGGCCCUGCCCUGCCCCAGAACCCUGGGUUCCUGCGGACAGACGGGCUGCCCUCUUCUUCAGAAGUUGGUGCGGACGGGCCUGACACCGCAGGGAGAACCAUGCUGAGGAACCACUCUGCCUGCUCGAGGGCCGGCCCGUGUCUGGUGCCCACGGCCGAGGAGGCGCAGAAAUUUAUUCUAAUGCUAAAUGUCCAGAUAGCCUUUGUUUACCCAGAUAGAAAUUAGGGCCUUAAAAAUACCUCGCAUUUGAUCUUCUGGUCCCAGUACAAAUAUUGACAAAAUGCAGAAUGACGGGCUUCCUUCAGUGCUUACUUCUCGGUUCUGAGCAGCGCUCUGGCUGGGGGUGGUUAACCCUGAAGCGGAGGAGAGAUGUGACGAGAAAACCCUCUGGGGACGGGUUGCAAGGAGAGCCUGCCCUGUGAGCUGCAUCGGACAAAGCCACUUUCGAUUCGGGUCCCGUUACUGUGCCAGGCCCUGAGCUGGACGCCCCUCCCAUAAGAGCCAUCGCUGUUGCUGACAGCCCUGCUGGGUGGGUGCCGUGGGGGGCAGAGGCUCGGGGAGGUCCAGGGGCCAGCCCCAGAGACCACCAAGCAACCAGCAGCAGCAGAGCAGGGGCCUGGCCCCAGCCGGCUUAGACGUAGAACUGCUUCUGGAUUCCAGGGCCGUGUGGCCUCGCUGAGGGGUCAGUCUACGGGAUCCUAAGAGACCGUCUCCCCGGGUUGCGGGCAGGAGGCUGGGGACAGGGCCUCCAGCUCAGGCCCUCCGUGCAGUGGUGCCCAGGGUGAGCUAGAGGGUUCUUCCCGCUGGAGUGAAAGCAAGCGGCUCCCAGACCCAGUGCAGCUGGGAAUGCCCGGGGCUGCUCUCUGGGCUCCGCGGUCUGGGCUCGGUGGGGUGCUUGGCCUCAGACAUCUCCCUGGUUGGAGGCCUUGUUGCCCAGUUGUUACGGAGCCGGAAGGCCAACAGGCCAGCUGUGGUGGGAGAACACAGGCUCGCACUCUGCUCAGCAGCCGGAGGUCCCUGCCCCAGCACGGCUGCGUCUGAGCUGCUCUUCUCCAAGAACACCAUACCCACCGAGCCUGGCCGGCCUUGGAGGACUGGGAAGCCAGAACACCCCUGUUGUCACCUUGCGGAAGAGAAAGUGAGUGUCUCAGACAUGGGGCUUCCUGGGGUCGCCUAGUACAGAGGGGUCUGGUCCUCCUUAGCAGCGGCGUGACCUGGCUCGGUAAAUGGAGACGUCUGUGGGUUUCUGUUCACUCGUGCCUAAAACACAGGGGAGGAGGGGGACGCCUGUCUUGGCUGUGUGAGUGUGGGCAAGUACCUUAGCCUCUCUGUGCUCCUUCCUCCUUUGCGGAUCAGGCUGUAAUGGGGGCGGACGGGGGCACUCGCUGCGACGGACUCAGGUUGGUGCCUGGCGCGUGGCCGGUGUGGGGUGUUGGCGUUUGCCCCGUUUCCGACGGGGCGCAUGUGCCCAGUGGUGGUGCACACGUUGGCAGCAACAUUGGGCAAAUGGGGAUUUGAAUGGGGGCUCUCGGGAGAGGUCCUCCGUGUCCUCCGUGAAGACAGCACCUUGUUCACGCUCGGCAGGUUGUCAGGACAACUGUGGUCGCACAAGCAACAGGGACCAUGGCACCUGCCCUCCACACCGCCGCCAUGGCAGCACCCCCCUGUAGGAGAGGCAUGGGGCUUCCCUCCCAAUCCCACUCCCCUGGUUCUUGACCCGGGCCCGGCCCCUGGCUCUGGAUCAGCCCGUCCCCAUCAGAGCGCAGGGCCCGGGCUCUGCCCCCCUGCGUCAGCCGCGUCUCCCCGUCCCAGUGCCCUUUGAGGGCCCCCCGCCGGCCUCAGUCAGAGCCACGGCACGGCGAGCCCCUGGGCCUCGGUCUGCUGGUCUUAGGUUUUCACUCUGCGCCGACAGGGCGGGGGGCCUGGGGCUGGCCCCGUGGCCCCCAGAGUAGUCCUGCUUGUCUCUGCCAUACGUUUGGGGUUCUGCGUGAGACCUGGUAAAGAUAGGGAGACCCCACGGGCAGGGCAGAGUCAGAAAGAUGCGAGCUCUUGGGGUGUACCUGCUGCCUAGCAGGCUCUGCUCCAGAGAGGCUCUCGGUCCAGCAGGUAUUUGCCGGGGCAGCUCCGUGUGCCCCCAGAGGGCCACAAACAAGGGGUUGGGCUGUCACCAGACAGACGCAGCUCGGGAGCCUCGGGGUGUGAGCUGUGGCCGGCUUGGGGCCCCCAUGAGGCAGGUGCUGCAGGAGCUCGGUGGGGGGGGGACGCGGCCACACAUCCACGGAGCUGGUCUUGCUGGUGUCGCCCUGGUGCUGCCCUGGCAUGGCCUGUCCCUGUACCCGCCGGCAGUGGGCAGGGUGAAGCUGCCAGCCUGGACCCCGGCUGGGGUGGGCCGGGAUGUCCCUGGAAUGCAGGGCAGCCCUCGGGCCAUCUGGUCAGAGGCCACCCCGCGCCAGGCAAGCAAAGACCAGCCUUUGAGGGUCGGGGGCAGAGGAGGAUUUUCAUCCAGAAGGAGCCCGGGCCUGGGAGGCCAGGAGCCUAUAUGUUCACGCCUGCCUCUCCAUGUCACCGCCUCGAGCUGGGCCGCCCCCUCUGUAAGGCGGGAGGGCAUCCUUGCCACUGCCCCGGGCAAGGGCUCGUCCCCAGGACCACCCAGAGCCCCUCGAAGGGGUGAGGGCGCCUCUGGCAGCUCAGGGAGGCCAGGGGCCCGGGCAGGAGGAAGAAGUUUCCAGAGAGGGCACCGCCUGCCCCCCUCUCUCUGGCCAGGCCCUCCUGGGCCUCCACACAGGACAGGCGGCCACGCUUCCAGAGUGGACAUUCCUCCUUCCUGCCCCCGGCGGCCGGCUGCCUUUGUCUUCCUGGGGCUGCACAAAAUGGCCGCUGCAGCCCUCCGCCAUUUUGUGUGUGAGGCAGGCAGGCGAGCGGGUGGCCCGGCAGGGGAGGAGGGAGGGAGACCACUGCCCGCCCGCCUGCCCCGAGUGGCCUGGACGGAGCCCAGCACCAGCCCCCGCCCCAGCCCGGCCUUGGCCGCGGCUGCCCUGGGCUUGGCACCAGCUCACGUCUUGGCAAGGCCGUCCGGGAACCCCGGCCCUUCACCCAGCCUGGUCGGCCCCCUCGCCGCCCCCCAGACUUCCCUGACGAGCAGACGGAGAUGCUGCGAAGCAGAGCCCAGAAGAGCUAUAAUUAAAGCCAUGCUCCUGGAGGGAGUCCUUGGCAGCCACGGGGCCGGCAUGGACGGUUCUAGAAAUGACGCUUGCCCGAGUGGGUAGGGGUGGGCUCCCCAGACUCGCCAUGACAGGGCCGGGUCUUUUCUAGGCCACGCUGGGGAGAGGAGCAGCAUGCUCAGCUCUCCACUCACCAUCCCACACCCUCACCUGCCUGGGGAGCCUCUGAGCUCCCUGGCUGGGCCUUGGGCUGGGCCCUGGGCUCCUGGUGGUUGGUCAGGUUUCCGGUCUGGACGCAGGUCCUGGCUGUCCUCAGGAAGCUGGGACAGGGGGCUUCCUGGAGGAGGUGAGGUCCGUGCCAAAAGACUAGGGUGCCGCUCUGCAGCCGGGCUUCCCAUGGCGCCUGAGCCAGCUGAGAUUCUUCAUUGCACAAAGCUGGGCUGAGCCCAUUCUGGCCCAGCCCAGGCCCUACACGGUCCUGUCUUCUGUGGGACCCACAUCCCCUAGAUCUCGGCUACCCUGAAGAGCAUCUUUCCGGAGCUGGGAGCAACCGGGCAUCAGGGGCCUCCUUCUGUGCCUCUUGCUCUGUGCUCAGCAUUAACAAGCCCACGGCUCGGACAGUGCGCAGCGGAUCAGGGGUAGCACAUUACGGGGGGGACACGGUCACGCAAGAAGCAGGCUGCUCAGCAUCCGGGGAUUCUCGGCCGUGGGGCCUGGGGAGCCACACGGAGGAGACGCCAAUGUCUCUGGAGCCAGCGCUGGGCCGUUUGCUGUGGGCCACCGUGCCACACCGGCCUCGGCAGGUGGAAGGGAGCAGCCAGCCUGCCAGGCAUCAGCGCCUGCCCGCGGUGUCCAGCCAUGAGGCCCUCAAAGGGCAGCGUACCUCCUAGAGGAACUGCAUGGAAAUGUCCUUGUACAGAAGCGGGGCGUGGUAUUUGAGGCGAGUGCAUUUUAAAGGGGCUGACGCUGUUUCUCAGGCAGCGUGGAGUAAUGCCAGGCCGACCUGGGGGCCCGGCCCGACCUGUGUUCUCUGUGUGGCUGAGGGUCAGUCCCGCACUGUCAAGGGACAGACACCCAGAUACAGCGCGUGUGUGGCAGGGUAGGGCCUCGGGAGCUGCAUGAGGCCUUCCCCAGACAUCUGUGGCCCAGCCAAGCCCUUCAGGCUGGGAGGGUUGCUGGACGCUGCCCCAAGGCCCUUCCCAGAAGCUCUCUCCUUGUGGUUCCCAGAGAGAACAUUCCGUCACCAUGAAGUGAGGUUUACUCAUGCCCUGGCUUCCUCUGGGGAAAGCCUGUGGGACAGGAUGGUGGCCACGCGCCAGGCCAGACCCAGUACCUCUUGGGGGACACAGAGCCCCACAGCAGAAUGACUGUCUCGGAGGGGACUGUCCCAGCUGGGGCUGCCGCGGGGUGGGCUUUCGUGCUGGGCAUUUUUAAUGAUAGGUGUGCAUCCGGUCCCCUCCCUUACUCCUGCUCCUCACCUUGUGACCCAGACUGUAGGUUGAACGGAGAACCUUUCAGACAAAUGUGCGCCUUUGAGGUUAACACUGUUGCCUAAUGACUAACACCGCCUGGAGACACCCACAGGAUCAGAGAGGGCUCUGCGUCCUUGCUUCUGCCUUUGGAGUCCAAGCAAACCCUGGAGUGGUGAAGACCCGCUCUCCCCACUGACACCCUUUCUCCGGGCACAGAGGCCCCUUGACCUUCUUCCGGAAGGCCCUGGCAUCCUUGUCCCACUAGCCAGAGCGGGCAGCUGAGGCCAGAGGUGCUGACUUGCCCAAGGCUCAUCACUGCCUGGAGCCAGAGCGGGGCUCAGAACCAUGACCUGGUGGACCUCAGAGCCAGCUGGCCCCUCCUCCCCGUGCCAGUGGCCCCUGUGGAUGCAGUGUGUCUGCAGAGCCGGCCAGCCCCCCUUGCCCAGCGCCUGCCCCCUGGCUUCCCAAGGGCUGCCAAAUGUUACUUUUGUGGGCCUCCAAACUCCCACGUCCGUGGCGUUGACCGUCCAGCCUCCGCUGAGUGCCGGCUGCCUGCACCGUGUCCGCCUGCAGGUCUCAGGGCACAGGAAGGCAGGGAGCUAGAGCAGGACGCAGGCUUCUGAGGUGCCCAUCUGGGGGGCGGGGGCUGCCUGACAGGGAGGGUGCGAACAAGCGAACGUUCCGGCGCCCGGAGACGGAAGGAGGGCUGGGGUCUGUGCAGACCCAUGGGGCUGGGGUGGGGGCUCCUGUCUGGAGGUGCCUCUUCCCCACCUGCGAGGCUUGUGCCGCCCAGAGGGACGCGGGGCUGUGGAAAGAGCCUAGCGUCAGGGAAAUUUGGAUUCCAGACCCGGUUUUGCCGCUCCGUCUCCAGGGUGUGCUGUUGGGGGCGGUGAGGCCCCUGGGCCGUGCACUCCCUGGGCUGCCAGAGCCUGAGGCAAAAGGAGAAGUCAGUAAGCCGGUCCGCUCUGUCUGCGGGGUGGAUGUUUGUAUAUCAUGGACGGUUUUGCCUUCAUUUUUAAGAAUUUUACUUUAAAAUAUUUGCCUUGAAUGCUGAGUUUGGUGUCCCAGAAGUGGCGUGGCCUAGGUGCGGGUCUGGCCGGCCUCCCCAAUUCCCGGCCGUGGUGGGCACACGGCCCCCUGCCCCGGCCCAGGUUGAUCAGACUGCCAUCUCCUUAACUCGAUGGGCCGUGUUUGCAGGGAGACCCACCCCCGCCCGGGCCCCCGGAUGCCACCCCCGCGUCUUUUUCCCAGACUCCAUUGUUGGCACGGCUUGCCGAGCAGAAACACUGGCCGCUUUAUGGGGAGAAACCUAAUCGGGGCGGCGCGGGGGGGCGGGUGGCCAUGGGGGGGUUCCCGGCUCUCGGUGGCCCCGAGCCAAGCCCGAGGUGACUGCGGGGUGACACUGUCUGUCUGCCUCACUCGCUCCAGACAUCCGCCCAGCCCUGAAAGGGCCACCUGCCCACGAAGGCCUCCCACACACCUGUCCCUGGCUGGCCUGGCUCCUCCCACCCGGCCCUGCCCAGCACCCUGCCCGCAGGCAGACGCCGCGGGACCGGGUGGGCUGGUGCUGGCAGCUGGCGGCUGGUGGGGCGACCGCCGAUUGCUCACUGCCCAGCAGCCCUGCUCAGGGAGCCCCUUUCAUGGUGCGUUGCCGGCCCCCCGCUGCCAGGCCUCAUCCGGGCCGACUGGGAAGGGUCCCUCUGGUCUGUCUCAGGAGUCCGGCCGUCCCCCCAGGCCGAGGCCCAUGGUGACCCCUGGGACUGUGGGGCAGGGAGGCCCAGCAGAUCUCGGGAGAGAAGAAUGCCAUCACGGCUGCCGGGCACCUCUCCCCCCUGCCCCACCACCUGCCACAGGGCUGGCUCUUCCAGACAGGAGGCCUGGGGCCCCCGAGAGGACAGCUGGCCCCAGAGCUGGGGCAGAGCUGGGAUUCCCCUGGGGGGCCUCUCUCGGCUUCCGGAGAGGCCCACACGGACAGGAGACAGGGCCCUCGUGGGCAUGCAGCUAGAACAGCUGGGGGCGGGCGCCCCAGCAGAGGACAAACAAAGACAGAUGGGCCGGGGAGGGUCAGAGGCGGCCUGCACUGGGCAUUUUUCUGCUCCGGGAGGCUGGCCUAGGGGAGCCGGGACUGGGCAGGGACUGGGUGGGAAGAAGCAGAGGUGCGGGCCUGGGGGAUCUGGCUCUGAGGGCAGCCUCUCGGGCUCAGCUUCCGUGCCCUCCAGGUGGUCGGCGGUCUGGCCGUGUGCUUGUCUCAUAUCUGUGUCCUCAUAUCUGUGUGCUCCCCUCCCUCAUGCCAGUCCUGCCCGGUCAUCCGGCUGGAAUGGGCCAGAGCCAGGUGGGAUGGUGAGCCGUCAAGCAAGCCCUGGCUGAGGCCUCAGGGCGGGUCUCGGGAGCCCCUUCCUCAGGAUGUCUGCUCUCGGGAGGAUCCCAGGCCUCGCCUGUCACGGGGCAGGAGCCUCAGCCUGGCCAGAGCCUCUUCUGUAAAGCGGGGACCUCAGCUCCUCCCUCUUGGGUCCCACCGACUUCAGGCCCCAGGGCGUCUGUGCGAGCCUGACAUGGUGCUUGCCACCCAGCCCAGGAAUGUCAGUAGCCCUGACCAUUCAGCGAUAAGGCCUGGGUCUCAGUGGUCUUUGAGCCAGAAUUGUCCAGCUCAGGGUGGCCACAGAGGCCCCUCUCCGGGCCAUUGCAGGGAGUGUGUCCCUGGCGAGAGGCUGCUCAGGGAUGCGGAUGCGCGGGCUGGCAGGGGGCGUCCGGGGAGGAGGCCCGGGGCAGUGGUCCGAGCUCUGGCAUGGCUGCCUCUCUCCCAAACCUGACGCCUGUUACUCUUUUCCUGAAUCCCGAACAGGUCAAGAAGCUUCUGUCCGUGGUGGGCCUUCCUCACAGCACGUGCGUGUUGGGGCAGGGCUCUGGGCCCGGGUGGGCUUCACCCCGCAGGGCCCCCCCUCCGCCCGCCCCGCGCUGGCCGGCCCAGCCUGAGCCUGUGGGAGCUCUCGCCCUGUCAUCCCACAGGACACAGGCCUGCCGCCCCAGCCUCCGUGUGGGUGCGCACCCGGGUGCCUCGCAGGAUGGCCUCCGGCACCCCUGCUCCCCCUCCUGCUGUCCUCACUCGAGGAGGGACGUGGUCAGAGCUGUGUCCCUCCCGUGCACCUCCAGGUCCUGCCAUCAGGCGUGGGGGCCCUUAGAUGGGGAUCUGGUGGUCCCGCCGCCACACCUUUGCCCAGGGAGUACCUGCCCCCCGGCAGCCGCACCGCUCCUUCCUGUGGCUCUGCAGCAUACUCCCUCAGCUGAGGCCCACGGUGCCCAUGCUGCCCUCGUGACCCCGUCACCUUUCACGGUUCUCUCUGGCCUCCCCCGUGCCCGGACGUGGCCUGAAGGAGCCGUGGUCUGUUGCAGGGAGUCUGGAUGGAAGAGGAGCGCUCAGCCCAGUCCCGCUCGGCACCACAAGGACUCGCCUGUCCCUGGGGCUCUUCGCCCGGUGCACCUGCUGCCCUUGGGCUCACCUUGCCUCGAGGGCCCUUGGGGGCCAGCAGUCCUGGAGGCAGCCCCUUCUCUCUGCCCAGCCGGGAACCAGCCUCGAGUGCAGCCCUAACGCACCCAGGCCACCUGUCAUCCACCCGAGAUGCCGCAAGGUGGGUCCAGCCUGAGCAGGAACAAAGGCCAAAUGGAGGAAACCAAGUCAUGUGGGCUUCUCCCAGGCCGGGCUGGAGGCCACGGGAGGGGGUGCUUGUGGGGACAGCCAGGGUGGACCAGGAUGUGUGUCUCCCUUUGUCGCCCCGCCCCUGGGGUCCCAGCGCAUGGGCUGGCCCGGUGUGCAGUCUCUGCCUCCCGGCUGGGGCUGCAACCAGAACCCUCCUGGGGUUAGCCCUGCAGGCUCAGGAGCUAAAGCCCGGGCCUAGGGGACGGCAGGGGGUGUCGGAGUCUGCGUAGUCCCACGCACGUGGAUUCCAGCUCCGGCUAAGGGCGGCCUGGUGCUACCCAGACGCCCCGAGGGGCAGCUCCCGCACUGACCCCACAUCUCCGUGAGGACGUCCAGGCCCGCAAGGGCGUAAGAUGUGCCCAGGGAUGCAAGCAAGGAGACCAGCCUGGUUUUGCAGCCAGGUCUGCCUGCUGGGCUCCCCUGCCUCGUGUCGCCCUUGGCCUGCAGGGGGCCAGCAGUCACCAUCAGGGGUUCCCUACAGCCUGAGGCAUUGGGGUCUCAGUGGCUAAGUCUAAAGCCCAGGGGCCGUGCUUAGGGCCCCUCCCCCAGAGUCCUUUGAGACAUUCAGGGGGGGCCCUGGGCCGGGAGCCAGGUCCUUAGCCUCUUUUUCUCCCCAGCAACAGGAGGCUCACGGCAGCCAGUCACCCCACAGGGUCGGGUGGCCUCCAGGACGCCCAGGCCCCGUCCAAGGAGUGGUAGCUGCCCCUGCAUAUGGGGCUGCGCAUGAGACCUCCCUCUGCAGGCCAGGGCAAGGCCAAGCCCAGCAGAGCCCAAGAGCAACCCCCCCAGCCCGGCAGGGGGCCAGGGACCCCCCCCCCCCCUUCCAGCCCACUAAUCUCAGCCUAUUUGCUCACUGUGGAGCGGGGUCAGUGCUCUCAGCUUCACGAGGAAUGUGAGGACCGCACAGCCCAGCCCAGCCUGAGGCCUGCCCAGAGGAGGCAGCCUGCCUGCGGGAGGGGAGGGUGUAGAAGGCGAUCUGGGGGUUGGAGAGCUCAGAGCGCUCGUACCAUUCCCCGGGCGGAAAGCAGGAUGUUCUAACCUCCGCCCUGCCACCUGUCGGCCGUGUGACCCUGCGAAGGCGAUGUUACCUCUCCGUGCCCCGGUGUGCUCACGUCUAAGAUGGGUUGACCGUAGCACUCGCCUCAGGGGCCCCCAGGAAGGCGGUGGCCGUGGUGACGCUGAUCCAGGCUGACUGUGCCCUCGGGCACGGAGUGCAGAGCCCUCCAGGGCCUCCAGCUCUGCCCCAGCUGCCCUCCCCAGGGGAGCCAGCUUCCUUGUCUAAAAGGAAGAACAGCAUCCUGGGGCCUCUCCCGAGGUGGGGACAGCUCAGGUCACCCUGCAUGGCAAGACCAGACUGACCAGAGCCCAUGGGGAGGGCGUCCCCACCUGUCCAGUGGGUGGAGGGAGCAGGUUUCUUGGGGCAGCGGAGAGGGGGAGGGUGGGCGGCCGAGGGGGGGUCACUUACAGCACCUGUGUGACAUGCAUUCCAACAAAUGAUGGCCUUCCUCCCAGUGUCACCAGUGCAGAUGUCCCUUGGGAACAUUAUGGCCACUCCUGUCCCCUCCCUCCCUCCGUCUCUCUCCCCUCUCUCUCUUUCCCUCGGGUUGGUGGUUUUCUGUGUGCCCCCUCUGCGUGGCUGCUCUGGGGCGUCUGUAGUCCCAGGGGCCCUGCCCACCCGUCUGCCGGGAUCCCCAAGCCCUUAGCACCCAGCCGGCCCGUCCCCAGUCCCCGGCCCCCGGCCCCCAUUCCCCGCAGCACCCGGGCCCGCCUCCAGGAGGCGCCUCUGGAAGCCACGGAGUCCGUCCCUGCGCCACGACUAACGGCCCUUUGGGGUGAGGUAGUAGGUUGUAUAGUUUGGGGCUCUGCCCUGCUAUGGGUUAACUAUACAAUCUACUGUCUUUCCUGAAGUGGCUGUAAUAUCGCCGAUGGACAGCGUCCAGGACCCUGGCUGGGGAGGGGACGGGCAGGCUGGGGACGGGCAGCAGCCUUGCUGGGGUGGGGUGGGGGCUGCCAGGCAGUAGGUCUGCAGGCCUACCUUCCACUUGCUGUGUGAUCUUGGGCAGGUGCUUUGACCUCUCUGGGCUUCAUUUUCCUCAUCUGUGAAAUGGGGACAAAUGAGGAUUGGAGACGAUACUGUAUGAAGCAUCCGGAGCAGGGGACGGCUCGCAGUUGACCCUUCCGUCCCCCUGCACUGCAUGGAGAGCCGGGGGCCGGUGGCGCAGUUUUUGCCGCCUGCCUCCCCUCCCCGCCCUCCCGCCCCCUGCGUCUGGACUGUGUCCGCAGCUCCAUCCCUGUGGCCGGCAGUGGGCACCAGGGGGAGCGGCGUGGGCCCAGAGGACGAGGCUGGGGUGGCAGGACAGGCCCCCAGGGAGACCCCCGGGGAACCUCAGCACGCCCCCCGGCGUCCUCACCGGCCCGCCCAGCUCGGCGUCAGGCCUCUGGUCAGUGACGGCCCCUCCGCUGGAGAGGGGGCUGAGGCUGCCCCACCCCUCGCCGCUCACCAUUCCAGGCGGGAAGGGAGGGGGGCUUGUGUGGCGCUCUGCGGCCCUCGGGGACACGAGCUCCCCCACCCACGACGUGCAGGUGGACGGGCUGGGCUGCACCGUCUGUGCUGCCUGCAUUGUCCCUCCUGCCCCGCGCCUGCCCGGCCUUGCAGCUUGGCUCCCGUGGCCACCCACCACCAGGCAGGGGCCGGGCCUGGGCGUGGGGCAGUGGCGGGACAGCGGACCCUCCCGCACCCCCGGGCACCGGCGGGGUGAGGUAGUAGGUUGUGUGGUUUCAGGGCAGUGAUGUUGCCCCCUCGGAAGAUAACUAUACAACCUACUGCCUUCCCUGAGGAGCCCAGCGACACGUCCCCACGGGAGGGCCGCCCCACGCCCAGCAGGCGACUCCGGGGGCCCUGAGCCAUGGGCCGGGGUGGGGGAGGCCGCGGCGCGCACACCUCGACUUCAAUAAAAGCUGUUCUGACGUGUA